rnacentral:rRNA from 1 species
CAGCAGCCGCGGUAAUACGUAGGGGGCAAGCGUUAUCCGGAUUUACUGGGUGUAAAGGGAGCGCAGACGGCAGUGCAAGUCUGAAGUGAAAGGCGUGGGCUCAACCCAUGAACUGCUUUGGAAACUGUAUAGCUUGAGUGUCGGAGGGGUAAGCGGAAUUCCUAGCGUAGCGGUGAAAUGCGUAGAUAUUAGGAGGAACACCGGAGGCGAAGGCGGCUUACUGGACGACAACUGACGUUGAGGCUCGAAGGCGUGGGGAGCAAACAGGAUUAGAUACCCCUGUAGUCCCUGUCUCUUAUAC